ACUCCUACGGGAGGCAGCAGUAAGGAAUAUUGGGCAAUGGAGGCAACUCUGACCCAGCCAUGCCGCGUGCAGGAAGACUGCCCUAUGGGUUGUAAACUGCUUUUUCAGGGGACUAACCGUGGUUACGUGUAACUGCCUGCAUGUACCCUGAGAAUAAGCAUCGGCUAACUCCGUGCCAGCAGCCGCGGUAAUACGGAGGAUGCGAGCGUUAUCCGGAUUUAUUGGGUUUAAAGGGUGCGUAGGCUGACAUGUAAGUCAGUGGUGAAAGACCCCGGCUUAACCGGGGGGUUGCCAUUGAAACUGUAUGUCUUGAGUGUAAUCGAAGUGGGCGGAAUGAGGGGUGUAGCGGUGAAAUGCAUAGAUAUUCCUCAGAACACCGAUAGCGAAGGCAGCUCACUAGCUUACAACUGACGCUGAGGCACGAAAGCGUGGGUAUCAAACAGGAUUAGAAACCCCAGUAGUCC
rnacentral:rRNA from 1 species